rnacentral:lncRNA from 1 species
CAACAGUAGUUAAAUUUUUGUAAUAGUUUCACUUUGCGUAAGUACCUACAAUUUCUUUUUUUUCUGGCAGAUCCAGACACUGGGGGUGGGGCAGGAUGUGAAACUUUGGGUGUGCUUCAACUCAUUGCACUGGCAGGACCACGUUACCCACGUGGUUGAAGAGAAGCUCGAGGUCCACUACCAAGACCACCCACAGCGGGACAGCAUCAUUCUGCGGGGAGAGGUGCGCUUCCCCAACCUGCGAUUCUCCAGCAGCAGCCUAGACUUUGGCUGCAUUUUCAACCACACCGAGAGCCAGAAGCAGCUAACCAUGACCAACUGCAGCCGGCUGGCUGUAACGUACCACUGGGCCUUCCUAGUGGAGCAGGUCUGGUACCACAUCAGGGAGAACGCAUCUCAGAGGAGCCGUGUCGGGGAGCUAGUGCCUCCCUUUGGUUGCUGGUACCCGAGCAGUUUCCCUCAGGAGGCAGAUACCUCAGUGAAACAGACACCGGCAGACUCCAAGGUGGACAGGCCUGAGAUGAGAAAUGCAGACGGCAAGAAGGAGCCUCACAGGUCUGUACCCAUCAUGUGGAUGCACACCUGCCUGAAGAACUGAACCUGAGGAUAUGUUCUGCUGAUGUAAUGCACUCUUUGUGUUCUUCUCUGACAUGUACAUCACUAUGGAGGAGAAAAGUGUCUGCUAAAUGAAUAAAUGUAACAUAAAUGUUUUCCUGCUACUUUAC